UCUGCCCACCGAGAAGAUGCAUCUGGAUCCCUGGUGUCACUUAUUGCUGAACUGUUUGAAUACCAAGUUAUACCGACCUGAAUCUCCCAAGUACCAACAGCAGCCUGGCUCGAAGCCAGAAGGAAUGACUGGAUAUCCCAAGUACCUGAUGGCCACAUAAACAUUUGAAGUAUCAAGCAUUAGAAGAAAGGUCUGUUCCCCAUCCUGACUUUGAGCAUGCUUCAUGGAGAAACUGCCUCCCAUAGACUAUCUGGCUCGAGCUCCCCUGCCCUCCAGUGGAUUUGGCCAAUAGGAGGCAUCAGC